UGGGGCGGAGGGCGCAGUGG
rnacentral:misc_RNA from 1 species